CCUACGGGUGGCAGCAGUAGGGGAUAUUGCACAAUGGGGGGAACCCUGAUGCAGCGACGCCGCGUGGGUGAAGGAGCGUUUCGGCGCGUAAAGCCCCAUCGGCAGGGAAGAAGGAGGACGGUACCUGACUAAAAAGCCCCGGCUAACUACGUGCCAGCAGCCGCGGUAAUACGUAGGGCGACAGCGUUAUCCGGAUUUACGGGGUGUAAAGGGGGCGCAGACGGCAACGAAAGCGAGAAGGGAAAGCCCGGGGCCCACCCCCGGGACUUCUCUUGGAACUGCUCGGCUGGAGUGCAGGAGGGGAAGGCGGAAUUCCUGGUGUAGCGGUGAAAUGCGUAGAUAUCAGGAGGAACACCGGUGGCGAAGGCGGCCUGCUGGACUGCGACUGACGUUGAGGCCCGAAAGCGUGGGGAGCAAACAGGAUUAGAUACCCUUGUAGUC
rnacentral:rRNA from 1 species